ensembl:misc_RNA Y_RNA Y RNA
GGCCGGUCCAAUGGCAGUGGGUUAUCAGAACUUAUUAACAUUAGUGUCACUAAAGUUGGUAUACCAUCCCCCUCCACUGCUAAAUUUGACUGGCUUAAA